AUUUUUUCAUCUAUGUUCACUCAGUCAUAAUUUUGCCUGUAGUUUUCUUUUUUUGUCGCAUCUUUGUCUGGUUUUGGUAUUAGGGUUUUGGUGGCCUCGUUGAAUGAGUUUUGAAGUUUGCCUUCCGCUGCAAUUUUCUGGAAGAGUUUGAGUAGCAUAGGUAUUAGCUCUUCUCUAAAUUUUUGGUAGGAUUCAGCUGUGAAGCUGUCUGGU